rnacentral:rRNA from 1 species
UACGUAGGGGGCAAGCGUUGUCCGGAAUCAUUGGGCGUAAAGCGCGUGUAGGCGGCCCGAUAAGUCCGCUGUGAAAGUCCAGGGCUCAACCCUGGGAUGCCGGUGGAAACUGUCGGGCUGGAGUCCGGAAGAGGCGAGUGGAAUUCCUGGUGUAGCGGUGAAAUGCGCAGAUAUCAGGAGGAACACCAAUGGCGAAGGCAGCUCGCUGGGACGGUACUGACGCUGAGACGCGAAAGCGUGGGGAGCAAACAGG